CCUUCGAUAGCUCAGUUGGAAGAGCGUGGGACUGUAAUGGUUAUCAUAGGGUUACUACCCUAUCCUAAAUCCCGAGGCCAUCGGUUCGAUCCCGAUUCGAAGGA